AUUGAACGCUGGCGGCAGGCCUAACACAUGCAAGUCGAACGGUAACAGGAAGCAGCUUGCUGCUUCGCUGACGAGUGGCGGACGGGUGAGUAAUGUCUGGGAAGCUGCCUGAUGGAGGGGGAUAACUACUGGAAACGGUAGCUAAUACCGCAUAAUGUCGCAAGACCAAAGAGGGGGACCUUCGGGCCUCUUGCCAUCGGAUGUGCCCAGAUGGGAUUAGCUUGUUGGUGGGGUAACGGCUCACCAAGGCGACGAUCCCUAGCUGGUCUGAGAGGAUGACCAGCCACACUGGGACUGAGACACGGUCCAGACUCCUACGGGAGGCAGCAGUGGGGAAUAUUGCACAAAGGGCGCAAGCCUGGUGCAGCCAUGCCGCGUGUAUGAAGAAGGCCUUCGGGUUGUAAAGUACUUUCAGCGGGGAGGAAGGGAGUAAAGUUAAUACCUUUGCUCAUUGACGUUACCCGCAGAAGAAGCACCGGCUAACUCCGUG
rnacentral:rRNA from 1 species